AGCUUGCAUUGCUUUUGCCAACUUGCAUGUAGAAACAAUAUUAAAAGGGGAAUUUGCAUCUCCACCACAUGUUUUUAGCACAUGUUUUCCCACUUGUAAUAAACUAACAUUUAAAAGAAGCAAGUUGACUUCUUUCACAUUUUCUUUGCAUCCACACCCGUAUGUUGCCUUCCAAUCCAUUUGCAAGGAUGCAUGUAUCUUGAUUAAACAAUGCUUGACAAAUCUCCACCACCAAAACAAAUUGGAAGAACAAUAUUAUAGUGUCCAACCCCUCUACUUGCAUCUAAAUAUCUUUCCAAGUUAGCUUUCUUGCAUAUUAAUCCUCCAAAUGCCAU
rnacentral:lncRNA from 1 species